GGGCGUGGUGGGUGGACCCGGCGUGCGGCCCGCCGUCGAGGUCGGAGGGGCCGGGACCCGCGGCGGCCGGGCGCGGGUCGCCGCCGUACGCCCCCG
rnacentral:tRNA from 1 species